CUCUUCCUUCUGCUUUUACUGCAGGUUUCUUGGUUGUCAUAUUUUCAGUUAUUCUGGGAUUUAUCUGCAGAAGACGUCCACAACGAUGUUAUUAAACUUUCACGUAAAUCUGGAGUUUAUUUCAUUUUUAAAGCGCCUCUCUAAGAACAUCCGGAUCACCUGCACAAGGAGAAACUGCCACUGUAGAUGAACUGUACUCAAGUCUCCAACAACAAACCAGAGACAUUUAUCAAACUGUCUCCUUUGGUCACCAUCAGUAUAAAUCAGAAACAAAU